rfam:Acidobacteria bacterium 13_1_40CM_2_68_5 13_1_40cm_2_scaffold_3676, whole genome shotgun sequence.
GGAGAGGUACCGAAGUGGUCGCAACGGGCCCGCCUCGAAAGCGGGUUGGGGCCUAAUCAGCCCCACGUGGGUUCGAAUCCCACCCUCUCCG